CACGAUAUUAGGUGCGACUUACAUUCUCCCAUGUAUCCAUAACCGGUCACUGUGCAUCUCUUCCCGGCGGUGUGGCUGACACCUCGCGCAGUUUUCCGAUUAGUUCUCCCAUGGGCAAAGGAUCAUUGACGUUCCGCACGUCUUUGCCGCAUUUACUCACUUUGUGACACAGUGUGCCGCAGUGAGGACCCACUGCGUUCCUAUGAGCGCACCGCCGCACAAAUACUGGUUCAGGGAAUUUAUCAGGGCGACCUGCCAGCACCACUCGUUCGCGUCUGCAUCCUCACCUCCUACCACGCGCGCGACUCUGUCGGAACUUCGUGCCUGAAUCGGGCCGCGAGAGGUUCCCUUUACGCCGCAAACGUAUUUACUGUACACCGGACUCCUGGUCGUAGUGGCCGACGCGGAAUUACUCACAAAUCGACGUCGUAAGUGGAGUGGCGUAAGGUCGGGGAGUGACGUGGAACGUAUCGUUCCUGUUGGUCAAGACCGGUUCCGUGGCAUUUCCACCGUGGAAUUCUCUUAUCAGAGAUUUCGGAGCGCAGCACUGGUGUCCCUGUUUCUUGCACUUGAACAGAUUCGUCAGCUCGGCGUUUCCUGUGGAUGCGCCAAUGAAUGAGAAACAUGAGCUUCACAUGAGCGAUCCGCAUUCCCCGCGUGUACUACUCACUGAAACAGGUGAACGACAAGUAGGACACGAUGCAGGAGCCGGGACAUUCCGGGCGUGGGUCCGGUGGUAACGACACCGUUGUCGUUGGUCGCGGGGUUGGCAAAUCCAGACAGAGGAUUAAUUAAUUACCUGUGGCGGGCUCUUCGUAUUGUCGCAACAGAUCGAGCCAGAUUGGCAAGUCGACGUUUUCGCUAUGAUCAAGUUCGGUCGCUCGCAGAACGCUGCCAUAAUUGUCAGG